rnacentral:rRNA from 1 species
CGAGUGGCGAACGGGUGAGUAAUGCAUCGGAACGUGCCCUGAAGUGGGGGAUAACGUAGCGAAAGUUACGCUAAUACCGCAUAUUCUGUGAGCAGGAAAGCAGGGGAUCUUCGGACCUUGCGCUUUUGGAGCGGCCGAUGUCGGAUUAGCUAGUUGGUGGGGUAAAGGCUCACCAAGGCAACGAUCCGUAGCGGGUCUGAGAGGAUGAUCCGCCACACUGGAACUGAGACACGGUCCAGACUCCUACGGGAGGCAGCAGUGGGGAAUUUUGGACAAUGGGCGCAAGCCUGAUCCAGCCAUGCCGCGUGAGUGAUGAAGGCCUUCGGGUUGUAAAGCUCUUUCGGUGGGGAAGAAAUUGCUUGGGUUAAUACCCUGAGUAGAUGACGGUACCCGCAUAAGAAGCACCGGCUAACUACGUGCCAGCAGCCGCGGUAAUAC